UACGUAGGGCGCAAGCGUUGUCCGGAAUUAUUGGGCGUAAAGAGCUCGUAGGCGGCUUGUCACGUCGGGUGUGAAAGACCGGGGCUUAACCCCGGUUCUGCAUUCGAUACGGGCUAGCUAGAGUGUGGUAGGGGAGAUCGGAAUUCCUGGUGUAGCGGUAAAAUGCGCAGAUAUCAGGAGGAACACCGGUGGCGAAGGCGGAUCUCUGGGCCAUUACUGACGCUGAGGAGCGAAAGCGUGGGGAGCGAACAGG
rnacentral:rRNA from 1 species